AGAGGUGCUGGUCAGCAUGGAGCACACACGGAAGCGACAUGCUCAGACUAUGUAGCCACUGUCCUUGAAGACCAGGCAGGCAGGCCUUACUGAUUGCUAGAUGGCAUAUCCAGAGUCCAGAGUACUAACCGGCAAGGACAGGGAAGUCACAGGACAGCCACGUAGAAUGGAAGAGCCAUGAGGAGUCUUUCUCGGCUCUAUUUGCUGAUUCAAGGAAGCUCAUGGAACCCUUUCUUCUAUACUGCCAGUUGUCCAAAUUAUGGGGUACCUUCUAGAAGUCAGAAGGGACGGAAUUCACCAUAUGACCUCAAGGUGUGAUCUGGCUGAAUCCCUGCCAUUGCCCUUUAGCUUGGCAUCUUCCAUAGCUCUUUUCUGGAGACCCAUGAGAAGAACAUAAAAAGAACAGGACCCUGGGGCACACCUGAUCCAUUUCUGAUCAACCAAAGAACACUUUGCUAAAAACCAACAGAGACAAGUUCUCCUCUAGCUCAGAAUGACCUCAGAUAGCAUGUACUAAAGCAUAACUUGAAGUUCUAAUCUCCUGCCCCCAUCUUCCAAGUGCUGGGAU